rnacentral:rRNA from 1 species
UGGGGAAUAUUGGACAAUGGGCGCAAGCCUGAUCCAGCCAUGCCGCGUGAGUGACGAAGGUCUUCGGAUUGUAAAGCUCUUUUGGCGGGGACGAUAAUGACGGUACCCGCAGAAUAAGCCCCGGCUAACUUCGUGCCAGCAGCCGCGGUAAUACGAAGGGGGCUAGCGUUGUUCGGAAUCACUGGGCGUAAAGCGCACGUAGGCGGAUGUGCCAGUCAGGGGUGAAAUCCCGGAGCUCAACUCCGGAACU